GAUAAACGCUGGCGGCGUGCCUAACACAUGCAAGUCGAACGCCCUGGAGCAAUUCAGGGAGUGGCGGACGGGUGAGGAACACGUGGGUGAUCUGCCUUGAGGUGAGGAAUACCGGCGAGAAAUCGCCGACAAUACCGCAUAGGUUCGUAAGAACAAAGUCGCAAGACGCCUUGAGAUGAGCCUGCGUCCGAUUAGCCAGUUGGUGGGUAAUGGCCUACCAAAGCAGCGAUCGGUAGCUGGUCUGAGAGGACGAUCAGCCACACUGGGAUUGAGAACGGCCCA
rnacentral:rRNA from 1 species